AGUGAACGCUGGCGGUAGGCCUAACACAUGCAAGUCGAACGGCAGCACAGUAAGAGCUUGCUCUUACGGGUGGCGAGUGGCGGACGGGUGAGGAAUACAUCGGAAUCUACUUUUUCGUGGGGGAUAACGUAGGGAAACUUACGCUAAUACCGCAUACGACCUACGGGUGAAAGCAGGGGAUCUUCGGACCUUGCGCGAUUGAAUGAGCCGAUGUCGGAUUAGCUAGUUGGCGGGGUAAAGGCCCACCAAGGCGACGAUCCGUAGCUGGUCUGAGAGGAUGAUCAGCCACACUGGAACUGAGACACGGUCCAGACUCCUACAGGAGGCAGCAGUGGGGAAUAUUGGACAAUGGGCGCAAGCCUGAUCCAGCCAUACCGCGUGAGUGAAGAAGGCCUUCGGGUUGUAAAGCCCUUUUGUUGGGAAAGAAAAGCAGCAGGUUAAUACCCCGCUGUUCUGACGGUACCCAAAGAAUAAGCACCGGCUAACUUCGUG
rnacentral:rRNA from 1 species